ACUGCUGAUCACGGAAAUGCUGAGGACAUGGUCAAAAGAGACAAAUCCGGCAAGCCUGCUCUUGAUAAGGAAGGGAAGCUUCAGAUUCUCACCUCUCCCACCCUGAAACCAGUGCCAAUUGCCAUUGGAGGUCAUGGCUUGUCAGCAGGAGUUAGGUUCAGACAGGAUAUCGAGACACUUGGGCUUGCGAAUAUAGCAGCGACAGUGAUGAACCUCCAUGGCUUUGUAAAGAGUUCUAUGCAAAGAGGUCUUUACCUUGAGGGACAACUACAUCAUAGAAAAACUCGGCUAUACAAAAUCAAAAAAGAAUAACCAAAUCAAAGCAGGGCAACACAAGCAACACUUACAGAGGAUCAAUUAAACAGCUAAGCAGUUGGUAUACAACAUAAAAAAUAAGUGUGCAACGUGCAGUCUCAACAUGCCUUUCUCCACUUGUGCUAUCAAAGCAGGAGGAUGCCCCUGCCCUUUUUUCAAGGCUCUUGGAUAAGCUAAUGAAGAGUGAUAAAUAUGGUGAGCGUAGAGGGGCAGCUUUUGGUCUUGCGGGAGUAAUUAUGGGCUUUGGAAUUUCUAGCUUGAAGAAAUAUGGUCUUAUAGUCACUUUGCAAGAGGCACUUAUUGACAGAAAUUCUGCGAAACGGCGUGAAGGAGCACUUCUUGCAUUUGAAUGUCUCUGCGAGAAGCUUGGAAAAUUAUUUGAAUCGUA